AGCAGUCGCCGCGGUAAUACGAGGGGAGCUAGCGUUGUUCGGAAUUACUAGGCGUAAAGCGCGCGUAGGCGGCUUUUUAAGUCAGAGGUGAAAGCCCGGGGCUCAACCCCGGAAUUGCCUUUGAAACUGGAAAGCUAGAAUCUUGGAGAGGUCAGUGGAAUUCCGAGUGUAGAGGUGAAAUUCGUAGAUAUUCGGAAGAACACCAGUGGCGAAGGCGACUGACUGGACAAGUAUUGACGCUGAGGUGCGAAAGCGUGGGGAGCAAACAGGAUUAGAUACCCGCGUAGUCCCUGUCUCUUAUAC
rnacentral:rRNA from 1 species